rnacentral:tRNA from 1 species
GGAAGAGUGUCCGAGUGGUUUAUGGAGCUAGUCUUGAAAACUAGUGAUGUCGAAAGGCACCGUGGGUUCGAAUCCUACCUCUUCCGCCA